GGACAGAUGGCCGAGUGGUUAUGGCGUGUGACUCAAGCUUUCUAGCUUGGUUGAUUUAAAUUAACUAGCAUUCUCAUGGGCUUAGCCCGCGGGGGUUCGAAUCCCCCUCUGUUCA
rnacentral:tRNA from 1 species